CUAAGAAAGGGAAGGCUGCAUUGCUCUUGAAGAGAGACAGGGUAAGAAUGAUGUUCAAUUCCUGUUUUUGUAAAAUUUCGGUUCUUAGGGUAUUUUUUGUUGAGGUUUUAUUUGAUUUGAUUUUUUUUUUUUGGGUAAUAUGGUUCGAUUAGCGAGUUCUGGUAGGUGUAUCAUUGUGUUAUCAAAUCAGGAUUCUAUGCAGAAUGCAUGAUUAUGUUGUUGUCAUUGUUGGGUUUCAUGUGUUCAGUGUAUUUGCGUUUUAAGUUUGAAUUCAAUCUCUUAGAAUUUUGGUCCAAAAACCUUUUCAAUUGAGGUCUAAUCUAAGUUUUAUUGGUUUUAUUUUGAAUUAUCAAUUUGAUAACUUCAUACCCUUUGCUGGAAAUCCCAGACGAGGUCCAAGAGAUUCUUGGAAAUUCAAAAUUUGAGGGAAAACAAGCAAGAAUAU
rnacentral:misc_RNA from 1 species